UGUGUAGGCGGUUGUUUAAGUUUGGUGUGAAAUCUCCCGGCUCAACUGGGAGGGUGCGCCGAAUACUGAAUGACUAGAGUGCGGGAGAGGAAAGUGGAAUUCCUGGUGUAGCGGUGAAAUGCGUAGAUAUCAGGAGGAACACCGGUGGUGUAGACGGCUUUCUGGACCGUAACUGACGCUGAAACACGAAAGCGUGGGUAGCAAACAGGAUUAGAUACCCUGGUAGUCCACGCCCUAAACGAUGCAUAUUUGGUGUGGGCAGUUCAUUCUGUCCGUGCCGGAGCUAACGCGUUAAAUAUGCCGCCGUGGGGAGUACAGUCGCAAGGCUAGAA
rnacentral:rRNA from 1 species